rnacentral:snRNA from 1 species
AUACUUACCUGGCAAGGGAGACAUUAUGGUUAUGAAGGUGGUUCUCUCAGGGCAAGGCUAAUCCUUUGCACUGGGGAUCUGCUGACCCCUGCAAUUUCCCCAAAUGUGGGAAACUGGCCUACAUAAUUAGUGUUCAUGGAGGAUUGCCUCUGUGCAUUCCCCCA